rnacentral:rRNA from 1 species
GACGAACGCUGGCGGCGUGCCUAAUACAUGCAAGUCGAGCGAAGUUUUUCUGGUGCUUGCACUAGAAAAACUUAGCGGCGAACGGGUGAGUAACACGUAAAGAACCUGCCUCAUAGACUGGGACAACUAUUGGAAACGAUAGCUAAUACCGGAUAACAGUAUUUCUCGCAUGAGAGAUAUUUAAAAGUUGGUUAUGCUAACACUAUGGGAUGGCUUUGCGGUGCAUUAGCUAGUUGGUGGGGUAAAGGCCCACCAAGGCGACGAUGCAUAGCCGACCUGAGAGGGUGAUCGGCCACACUGGGACUGAGACACGGCCCAGACUCCUACGGGAGGCAGCAGUAGGGAAUCUUCCGCAAUGGGCGAAAGCCUGACGGAGCAACGCCGCGUGAGUGAAGAAGGAUUUCGGUUCGUAAAGCUCUGUUGUUAGGGAAGAAUGGAUAUGUAGUAACUAUACAUAUAAGAGACG